rnacentral:rRNA from 1 species
CCUACGGGAGGCAGCAGUGAGGAAUAUUGGUCAAUGGCCGUGAGGCUGAACCAGCCAAGUCGCGUGAAGGAUGACGGCCCUACGGGUUGUAAACUUCUUUUAUAGGGGAAUAAAGCGAGCCACGUGUGGCUAUUUGCAUGUACCCUAUGAAUAAGCAUCGGCUAACUCCGUGCCAGCAGCCGCGGUCAUACGGAGGAUGCGAGCGUUAUCCGGAUUUAUUGGGUUUAAAGGGUGCGUAGGUGGGUGUUUAAGUCAGCGGUGAAAGUUUGGGGCUCAACCAUAAAAUUGCCGUUGAAACUGGAAGCCUUGAGUGCGGUUGAGGUAGGCGGAAUGCGUGGUGUAGCGGUGAAAUGCAUAGAUAUCACGCAGAACUCCGAUUGCGAAGGCAGCAUACUAACCCGCAACUGACACUGAUGCACGAAAGCGUGGGUAUCAAACAGGAUUAGAUACCCGUGUAGUC